rnacentral:rRNA from 1 species
GUAGGGAAUCUUCCACAAUGGACGAAAGUCUGAUGGAGCAACGCCGCGUGAGUGAAGAAGGGUUUCGGCUCGUAAAACUCUGUUGUUAAAGAAGAACAUAUCUGAGAGUAACUGUUCAGGUAUUGACGGUAUUUAACCAGAAAGCCACGGCUAACUACGUGCCUG